GUGGGCACUGCCUGUAGACUGGGAUAACUUCGGGAAACCGAAGCUAAUACCGGAUAGGAUCUUCUCCUUCAUGGGAGAUGAUUGAAAGAUGGUUUCGGCUAUCACUUACAGAUGGGCCCGCGGUGCAUUAGCUAGUUGGUGAGGUAACGGCUCACCAAGGCAACGAUGCAUAGCCGACCUGAGAGGGUGAUCGGCCACACUGGGACUGAGACACGGCCCAGACUCCUACGGGAGGCAGCAGUAGGGAAUCUUCCGCAAUGGACGAAAGUCUGACGGAGCAACGCCGCGUGAGUGAUGAAGGCUUUCGGGUCGUAAAACUCUGUUGGUAGGGAAGAACAAGUACGAGAGUAACUGCUUGUACCUUGACGGUACCUAACCAGAAAGCCACGGCUAACUACGUGCCAGCAGCCGCGGUAAUACGUAGGUGGCAAGCGUUAUCCGGAAUUAUUGGGCGUAAAGCGCGCGCAGGCGGUUUCUUAAGUCUGAUGUGAAAGCCCACGGCUCAACCGUGGAGGGUCAUUGGAAACUGGGGAACUUGAGUGCAGAAGAGAAAAGCGGAAUUCCACGUGUAGCGGUGAAAUGCGUAGAGAUGUGGAGGAACACCAGUGGCGAAGGCGGCUUUUUGGUCUGUAACUGACGCUGAAGCGCGAAAGCGUGGGGAGCAAACA
rnacentral:rRNA from 2 species